rnacentral:rRNA from 1 species
GAUGAACGCUGGCGGCGUGCCUAAUACAUGCAAGUCGAGCGAACAGACGAGGAGCUUGCUCCUUUGACGUUAGCGGCGGACGGGUGAGUAGCACGUGGGUAACCUACCUAUAAGACUGGGAUAACUUCGGGAAACCGGAGCUAAUACCGGAUAAUAUUUCGAACCGCAUGGUUCGAUAGUGAAAGAUGGCUUUGCUAUCACUUAUAGAUGGACCUGCGCCGUAUUAGCUAGUUGGUAAGGUAACGGCUUACCAAGGCAACGAUACGUAGCCGACCUGAGAGGGUGAUCGGCCACACUGGAACUGAGACACGGUCCAGACUCCUACGGGAGGCAGCAGUAGGGAAUCUUCCGCAAUGGGCGAAAGCCUGACGGAGCAACGCCGCGUGAGUGAUGAAGGUCUUCGGAUCGUAAAACGCUGUUAUUAGGGAAGAACAAACGUGUAAGUAACUGUGCACGUCUUGACGGUACCUAAUCAGAAAGCCACGGCUAACUACGU